rnacentral:rRNA from 1 species
AUAGAGACUCAGAGCUGCAUAUCAAUAAGCGGAGGAAAAGAAACUAACUAGGAUUCCCUCAGUAACGGCGAGUGAAGCGGGAAGAGCUCAAAUUUGAAAUCUUCAAGGUUUUACCUUGACGAAUUGUAGUUUAAAGAAGUGUUUUCUGUUGGAGUUUUGGUAAAAGUUCCUUGGAAUAGGGACAUCAUAGAGGGUGAGAAUCCCGUAUUUGACCAUUAUUUCCAGCUUUGUGAUACACUUUCAAAGAGUCGGAUUGUUUGGGAAUGCAGUCCAAAAUGGGUGGUAAAUUUCAUCUAAAGCUAAAUAUUGGCGAGAGACCGAUAGCGAACAAGUACCGUGAGGGAAAGAUGAAAAGAACUUUGAAAAGAGAGUUAAACAGUACGUGAAAUUGUCAAAAGGGAAGCGUUUGACACCAGUGUUGUUUUUCCGAAAAUCAAUUACGAAUGGCUUGAUUUUGUGUUGUAUUGACCUUAUCAGCUUUCUGCACUUUUUUCUAGUCUUUCUUAAUGCACUUUUCGUUUAACAAGUCAACAUCAAUUUCUUUUGUUGUAAAAGGGUCAUUGGAAGGUGGCUUUCUUUUCGGAGAAAGUGUUUAUAGCCUUUGGCCUCUGCAAUCGGAGAGAUUGAGGUCUGCAGCGUAGAUCCUUCGGGGUUAGAUACAUUUGUGCUAAGUUAUAGCCUUUCAUAGACAACUUGUUGACUAUGAUCAGUCAUGUAGCUUACUCGCUUAUGCUAUUUUACCUACGCUUAGGAUGUUGACGAUCAGCUGAGCGC